GACGAACGCUGGCGGCGUGCUUAACACAUGCAAGUCGAACGGAAAGGCCCUGCAUGUGUGGGGUGCUCGAGUGGCGAACGGGUGAGUAACACGUGAGUAACCUGCCCUUGACUUUGGGAUAACGUCAGGAAACUGGGGAUAAUACCGGAUAGGAGCUCCUGCGGCAGGGUGGGGGUGGGAAAGUUUCGGCGGAUGGGGAUGGACUCGCGGCUUAUCAGCGUGUUGGUGGGGUAGUGGAUUACCAAGGCUUUGACGGGUAGCCGGCCUGAGAGGGUGACCGGCCACAUGGGUACUGAGAGACGGCGCAGACUCCUACGGGAGGCAGCAGGGGGGAAUAUUGCACAAUGGGCGGAAGCCUGAUGCAGCAACGCCGCGUGCGGGAUGACGUCCUUCGGGUUGUAAACCGCUUUCGCCUGUGACGAAGCGUGAGUGACGGUAAUGGGUAAAGAAGCACCGGCUAACUACGUG
rnacentral:rRNA from 1 species